GAUGAACGCUAGCGGGAGGCCUAACACAUGCAAGCCGAGCGGUAGAGUUUCUUCGGAAACUUGAGAGCGGCGCACGGGUGCGUAACACGUGUGCAACCUACCUUUAUCUGGGGGAUAGCCUUUCGAAAGGAAGAUUAAUACCCCAUAAUAUAAUGAUUGGCAUCAAUUAUUAUUGAAAACUCCGGUGGAUAGAGAUGGGCACGCGCAAGAUUAGAUAGUUGGUGAGGUAACGGCUCACCAAGUCAAUGAUCUUUAGGGGUCCUGAGAGGUAGAUCCCCCACACUGGUACUGAGACACGGACCAGACUCCUACGGGAGGCAGCAGUGAGGAAUAUUGGACAAUGGGUGAGAGCCUGAUCCAGCCAUCCCGCGUGAAGGAUGACGGUCCUAUGGAUUGUAAACUUCUUUUGUACAGGGAUAAACCUACCCUCGUGAGGGUAGCUGAAGGUACUGUACGAAUAAGCACCGGCUAACUCCGUG
rnacentral:rRNA from 1 species